GGGCGGGUCCUGUGCGACGGAGCGCCGCGAACCAUGUCAGGCGGGGAACCGAGCAGCAUUAAGCGGUUGUUUCCGUGCGCCGCAGUAAAUCGGUUCGUU
rnacentral:SRP_RNA from 1 species